AGCGAACGCUGGCGGCAGGCUUAACACAUGCAAGUCGAGCGGGCCCUUCGGGUCAGCGGCGGACGGGUGAGUAACGCGUGGGAACGUGCCUUCUGGUCUGGAAUAACCCUGGGAAACUAGGGCUAAUACCGGAUACGCCCUUUUGGGGAAAGGUUUACUGCCGGAAGAUCGGCCCGCGCCUGAUUAGCUAGUUGGUGGGGUAACGGCCUACCAAGGCGACGAUCAGUAGCUGGUCUGAGAGGAUGANCAGCCACACUGGGACUGAGACACGGCCCAGACUCCUACGGGAGGCAGCAGUGGGGAAUAUUGGACAAUGGGCGCAAGCCUGAUCCAGCCAUGCCGCGUGAGUGAUGAAGGCCUUAGGGUUGUAAAGCUCUUUAUCCGGGACGAUAAUGACGGUACCGGAGGAAUAAGCCCCGGCUAA
rnacentral:rRNA from 1 species